rnacentral:lncRNA from 10 species
GAGAAAAAUGGAAACUCAUCAAACAAGUGAUAUAAGUAGAGAAGUCUGGCACAUUGAUGUUAUCACCAGAUAUGGCUUCAUAGGAGGGAACAGUGCACAUUGAAGUUGACAGCCACCGCAGCCACUGCAGGGCCCAGCCGUACCCUUAGGAAAGGAGCUCUUUCUGAUAUAAACGCUAUGCAAGGACACACAUUCCAGAGACACGCCCCAUCCAUUCGGCUGCGCCGCUGCCAUGGGAGGCCAAAGAAGCCUGCAGCUGUAAGCCUGGGAGAGUGACAGAAGAAGGGUUUCGCUAGUGUUGAACACCUGAGCUCAAGCAACCCACUCACUUUGGUCUUCCUGGGAUUACAGGCAUGAGCCACAGUGCCUGGCCUCCAAGACCGGUCGGGGUGAGCAGUAACCCACGCUAACAGAGCUUAGUCAAGCAACCAGUACCGGCCAACGGACAGUGAAACUGAAAGAAAACUUGCAGAGCUUUCAUGGAAAGUCCAUCAGUGAAAACGGCCUGGAUGAAUAUGGUGUAAACUGUCUCCCAGGCCCUGUUUCGUUUUUCCUUAGGUGUCAGUGGGAAACUACACAUUUGCCGAAUCAAUUUUCUCUGCUACUCAGAGAAAAGCAUCCUUUGAGAUUAGCAACAUAAGAAGAUAUACAUAAUUAAAUAAAUAAAUAAAUAAGGAAAAACAAUGCACAAGUUUCGAGGAUUAGAAGGACAAAAAUUAAACAAGAAAAAUAAAUUUAAAAAAAUAAAAGAAAGAGAUUAGCAGCGUGGAAGCAGAUGGCACAGGGAGGAGGGGGCAGUGGCCCCCAGAUGGGCUGUGGGAGCAAUGUCAAGGUUGGAGGUGGUGGGAGAAAGGUGGAAUCUCUGUAGCCUGAUAGAGGUUGAAGAUGUCUUUACAAAGCUAGUGUACUUAAUUAUUUGUGGGGAACAAAGGGUCUUCCUGAUCCAUACAAAGUAUACUCUCUUUUUAACAAUCAGGGUAACCUAAGACAGAUGAUGAGGACCUUCCAAAAGUCAGUCACUCACCAGAAUUCCAAAGUGCCAGGUUGCCUGAUGA